GUGAUUGAUGGACUAAAUCGGACAAAAUAAAAGUUAGAAAGUGAAGUAAAAGGAGGUGGCAACUUCAAGGACUAAAAGAGACUCUUUCCCCACUUAUUAUCAUCAAUUAAGAAUGAAUAUUCAUUCAUUCAAAACAGAAAUUGCAGCCAAGAUCCGUAACUCUCCUUCUCCAUUUCUCUCCAAAUUUCACAUGUCCAUAACUUUCUCGUUUCUCAACGAAAUUGAGCGAUUCUUGCGGCCACGGAACGAGAAAACGAUUAUCUACAGAUAUGUGGCAUCAAUUUGAGUGAGUUUAUAAGCUUAAAUUGGAUGCAAAAUGAUGAUGGAGAUAAGGUUUUCAAGGUGAAAUUGAGCUUUAAUGGAGGAUUGUUGAUGAUGAAUUGAAGCUUGGAAACUUCGGCCAUGGAGUAUCUUUAAGAUCGGACGAGCGACUAUCGACGAGGCUUGAGGAAAAACGGAUCGAGAUAUCGUCAUGCUUAUUUGAAGAGUUUGGAUAGCAAGUGGGAUAGUAUGAUAUGAUUUGGAAAGUCAAGUUUCCGAAGUUUUAAUUCUCGGAAGUUAUUUGCACAAGAAGUGAAAGAAGGUUUUCAUUCUAGCGGUCCGCAGUAGUAUAGAUGUUUUUGUCUAUGUAUUUGACUAGCGCAUUUUAACUCUGAUAUUUUUGUAAAAUGGGGUCACAUGUAUUUUGAUAUAUGAAAAAAAUGAUUUGAUUUGCGAAAAAUUUACACAGGUUUUUAGGCUUGCUACGGGUUUCGGAGCUACCACUCCCAUUCCCUAGCGCCGGUUGCGGCUCGAGAAAUCGGGUCGUGACAAAGGUGGUAUCAGAGCAAUGGUUUAGAUUCAUAGGCCAUUGCCUGUAUACGAUUGAUGUCUGUAGUUCCUAGGUAUGAUGUCACUAGGUUAAGCUAAGAACUAAUGCGGAUUAUAGAGAUUUCCAGUCAUGUCUUUUGAACGUUAUCAUCUUUUUCAUCGAUUUUUCAAACGUUUUACGAAGACGUCCCCUCCUAUAUGUGCUAUUAGGAGUCGAGUUAGAUGUGUGCGCGAGCACAAUAUAUGUUUGUGUUUACUCGAGUAAGCAAUACGCUUUCGAGUAUCUAUAGUCUGCGAAGAGUUAUAUACUCUCGAGACUCAUAUGAUGUAUGAAUAUCGUCAUGGACAAUGAUUGAAUUAUAAAUUGGUUGGAUUGGAUAUUA